UACGUAGGAGGCAAGCGUUGUCCGGAAUUACUGGGCGUAAAGCGCGUGUAGGCUGCUUCGCAAGUCGGAUGUGAAAGCCCUGGGCUCAACCCAGGAAGUGCAUUCGAAACUGCAGAGCUGGAGUCCUGGAGAGGAAGGCGGAAUUCCGGGUGUAGCGGUGGAAUGCGUAGAGAUCCGGAAGAACACCGGUGGCGAAGGCGGCCUGCUGGGCAGUUGCUGACACUGAGGCGCGACAGCGUGGGGAGCAAACAGG
rnacentral:rRNA from 1 species